UACGGAGGGUGCAAGCGUUAUCCGGAUUCACUGGGUUUAAAGGGUGCGUAGGUGGGCAGGUAAGUCAGUGGUGAAAUCUCCGGGCUUAACCCGGGAAACUGCCAUUGAUACUAUCUGUCUUGAAUACCGUGGAGGUUAGCGGAAUAUGUCAUGUAGCGGUGAAAUGCUUAGAUAUGACAUAGAACACCAAUUGCGAAGGCAGCUGGCUACACGAAUAUUGACACUGAUGCACGAAAGCGUGGGGAUCAAACAGG
rnacentral:rRNA from 1 species